AGCGAACGCUGGCGGCAGGCCUAACGCAUGCAAGUCGAACGAACUCUUCGGAGUUAGUGGCGGACGGGUGAGUAACACGUGGGAACGUGCCUUUAGGUUCGGAAUAACUCAGGGAAACUUGUGCUAAUACCGAAUGUGCCCUUCGGGGGAAAGAUUUAUCGCCUUUAGAGCGGCCCGCGUCUGAUUAGCUUGUUGGUGGGGUAAUGGCCCACCAAGGCUACGAUCAGUAGCUGGUCUGAGAGGAUGACCAGCCACAUUGGGACUGAGACACGGCCCAAACUCCUACGGGAGGCAGCAGUGGGGAAUCUUGCGCUAUGGGCGAAAGCCUGACGCAGCCAUGCCGCGUGUAUGAUGAAGGUCUUAGGAUUGUAAAAUACUUUCACCGGUGAAGAUAAUGACUGUAGCCGGAGAAGAAGCCCCGGCUAACUUCGUGCCAGCAGCCGCGGUAAUACGAAGGGGGCUAGCGUUGCUCGGAAUUACUGGGCGUAAAGGGAGCGUAGGCGGACAUUU
rnacentral:rRNA from 1 species